rnacentral:lncRNA from 1 species
UAAUUUACUGUAAGCAUUAGAGAUAAACCUGUACAUAUAUUGGAUAGAUAGAUAAUCCACGCUUUUACAGAUUACAGUAUUGGAUAUGGAAAAUUGAUUAACAGCUUUUCUGCAUUGCUGUUAUCCACUUGCCCAGCAAUAAUAUAAGAGCUUUACUGCACUAAAUUGGCGUGAACGAUGAUGCUGAAAGAAAGACAAAAAAUUAAUAAAAAUCAAUAUUAAAAAAAGACAGUCAACUGUUAACGAAACAGCAGUAAGCUACGACUCAAAGUAAGCACCAAUUAAGAUAAAAGACAGAGAAAUUGAAUGUUAUAUAUUAUUUUAAAUAAGUUGAAAUUAAUCAUGAACAUUCCAAGAGUUAAGCCAACGAAGGCGAUGGAAGUCGGAUGCAGGUCCAUGCAUGCCGAAGGUUACAUCCUUGAAAUAAAUAAAGACUCCGGCAAUUAUAGCAUAAAGUGAGAUAAACACAACUACGCGGACAAUCUUAGGCAUCUUUUUAGUAAACCAGUCAACAACGAAGGCUGCAGUGAAAGUCGAUAAGGCAUACGAAGGCUCGUAGUGAUGAACAUACAAAACACGUCCCAUAAUAUAGUAGGGUAGGUAGUUAAAGAACCAGCCCAAAAAUGGAUAAAUGCCGGCAUAAUGGAAAGUAUCACAAGCUUCUUGAGACCAUCUUAGCACACGACGACGCCAAGCUAAAACGGCUCCCACAACAAAUAAUGCAAAAACAAUUAAGCUAGAAGUUGCAAACCAGUAAGCAACGGGGUUCCCUACCAGCAAAUAUUUGAUUUGGUUAUCGCCCCAUCCGCACAUUCGUAAGGUUGCUAAAAGGAAGGGCCAUUGAUAUGCUUCACUGCGAAGGGCAUCUAAUUUAUCUUCAUCAGGAAUAAGACCAUUGUUAGCACGUAACAUGGCGCGAUUCAGGUGAAGAAAAUCAGACCAAAAGGAAGAAGGAUAAUCGUUAAUACUUCCUUCAGGAAGACGAGGAUUAAUAUGCUCUUCAACAUUCCAUUGAGUGUCAGUAUUUGAUGGAUCGGGGUCGGGAUCACAAUACAUUUCGAUUUGCCCAAAACCCCAUGAAGGUAAACUAGAAGAUGAUGAACUCAAAUAGCAGCCGACUACCGGGUUGUACAACUGAAAGACGGUAGAAAGAGAGCGUACGUUAUACGCAUCUCUGUGAGCAGUAUCAUACAAAAUAUUUACAAUCCAAUAAUCCUUUUCAUCUCCGACGUCACCCAAGCCAUAUCCAGAGACUUCAUACAUACGUUUGUUCAGAGGGGCAGGGAUUUUGUGAGUGUGAAGAUUACGGUUUGUAAAAGGAUGAAUUAAACGAACUACGCUUCCAUUAAGAAUAGGAUUCAUAGGAUCGUUCUCCUCAUAGUUAUAGGCCACACCAUGAGUAGGUACAAACAUCCACUCAUUGUUACCGUCUUUGUGAUGAUAACCAGUAACUUGCUGUUGCUCACUACCUUCAGGAUACGUUUGAACGUGAGAAUGCAAAAGUGCACCAGUUGGAUUUCUGCUCUUCAAUGUGAAUUUACUGCCAUACAUUAGGUCAAUAGGAUUCUUGGUCAAAGGAGAUCCUUCAAGGCGAGCCUGGAAAAGAGAAGGCAUCUGAGCAUCACCUGGUCCUGAUCUGUAGAGAACAGCGAAUUGGAUCCAAAAAGUAAAGGCAUAAAUAAGGAUAGGGAGGAAAAUAAGCAGGCAGACGCGAGCAAUCCAGUGGCCAGCAUACGCCUUCCAAGUAACUCGCUUAUCGUUCAAUAAACACCACAACUCAUCAACAGUAUAAAGACCCACAACCGCUGUAAUGAAGAGACCAACAAGCUUGACACUGCAAACGCAGCCAAUGCAAACACCAGUCAAAAAGAGCCAUUUAAACCAAUAAAAGGUGAAGGGAGCCUUAUGAUAAACAUGAUAUCUAGACAAGCAGAAAAAUGUGCUGAUAAUAAAAAAAAGUAACAUACUGUCUAAUAGAAUGAAGCGGCUGAUGGUAGCCAAAUGAUUGUCCAACGCUACCAUCAAAGUGCAUAAUGUAGCAGCUAGAAACGAAUAAUUAAAGUUUAAUGCAGUAAAAUAAACCAAAGGAAUGCAUAGAGUUCCAAACGCAGCAUUCCAAAGUCUCAUAAAUUUGUAAUUUAAAUCCUCAGGAUAGGUAGCACCAGAACUGAAAUCGAAGCUACCAUCAUAGCCAACCAAUUUGCCAGCAACAGCGUUAAGCAUCUUACCCAAAGGUGGAUGAACGUCAAAAUAGAACUCAUGCUUCAAAUAAUACGAGGCAAACUUGCCGAAAUGGGCUUCAUCCCAAAUAACAACAUUACUAUCGGCAAUUUUCCAAACACGAACAAAACCAGCGAUAACGGUUAAGAGUAAAGGGACGAGAAAAUAACCAAGAAUGUAAUAUUUCUUAUUGGUUUUAACUUCACCCAAAGCACUCUUGGUAGCGUCUUUUAACUCUUCCUUCUCAUUUGCUACCUCAUCCUCAAUCUCACUAUGCUUCGAAGGAAAGCGCUGGCGAAGCUGACCCGACUGAGCAUGAAGCUGUUCAUAGGACAUUUUACAAUGUACAACAAGCAAACAAAAAUAUAGCUUUUACUUCAGCUAAUGCACCUAUAGUCCGAGUUUGCUUUCUCAGGACACACACAAUUUAACGAGCCCAAAACUUGAUCGAUACCAAAAG